GGAGAGGUGGCCGAGCGGCUGAAGGCAUCCGCCUGCUAAGCGGGUAACUGGGGAAACCUGGUUCGAGGGUUCGAAUCCCUCCCUCUCCG
rnacentral:tRNA from 1 species